rnacentral:rRNA from 1 species
UCGAGAAUCAUUCACAAUGGGGGGCAACCCUGAUGGUGCGACGCCGCGUGGGGGAGGAAGGUCUUCGGAUUGUAAACCCCCUGUCAUGUGGGAGCAAGGCUACGGCUUGAUAGUACCACAAGAGGAAGAGACGGCAAACUCUGUGCCAGCAGCCGCGGUAAUACAGAGGUCUCAAGCGUUGUUCGGAAUCACUGGGCGUAAAGGGUACGUAGGCGGCAAAAGUAAGUCGUGCGUGAAAGGCAGGGGCUCAACCUCUGGAGUGCGCGUGAUACUGUUUUGCUAGAGUAAUGGAGGGGGUAACCGGAAUUCUUGGUGUAGCAGUGAAAUGCGUAGAUAUCAAGAAGAAGACUCGUGGCGAAGGCGGGUUCCUGGACAUUAACUGACGCUGAGGUACGAAGGCCGGGGUAGCGAAAGGGAUUAGAUACC